rnacentral:rRNA from 1 species
GACGAACGCUGGCGGCGUGCUUAACACAUGCAAGUCGAGCGAUGAACCUUUCAUGAAUUUUUCGGAAUGAUUGGAAGAGGAUUAGCGGCGGACGGGUGAGUAACGCGUGAGCAACCUGCCUUAAACAACGGGAUAGCCUCGGGAAACCGGGAUUAAUACCGUAUGAGACCCCCGCCUUCACAUGAAGAAGAGGUUAAAGAUUUAUCGGUUUAAGAUGGGCUCGCGUCUGAUUAGCUAGUUGGUGAGAUAAAAGCCCACCAAGGCAACGAUCAGUAACCGGCUUGAGAGAGUGAACGGUCACAUUGGAACUGAGACACGGUCCAAACUCCUACGGGAGGCAGCAGUGGGGAAUAUUGCACAAUGGGGGAAACCCUGAUGCAGCGACGCCGCGUGAGCGAUGAAGGAAUUCGUUUCGUAAAGCUCUGUCCAAGGGGAAGAUAAUGACAGUACCCUUGGAGGAAGCCCCGGCUAAAUACGUGCCAGCCGCCGCAGUAAUAC